GAUGAACGCUGGCGGCGUGCCUAAUACAUGCAAGUCGAGCGAACGGACGAGAAGCUUGCUUCUCUGAUGUUAGCGGCGGACGGGUGAGUAACACGUGUAUAACCUACCUAUAAGACUGGGAUAACUUCGGGAAACCGGCGCUAAUACCGGAUAAUAUUUUGAACCGCAUGGUUCAAAAGUGAAAGACGGUCUUGCUGUCACUUAUAGAUGGAUCCGCGCUGCAUUAGCUAGUUGGUAAGGUAACGGCUUACCAAGGCAACGAUGCAUAGCCGACCUGAGAGGGUGAUCGGCCACAUUGGAACUGAGACACGGUCCAGACUCCUACGGGAGGCAGCAGUAGGGAAUCUUCCGCAAUGGGCGAAAGCCUGACGGAGCAACGCCGCGUGAGUGAUGAAGGUCUUCGGAUCGUAAAACUCUGUUAUUAGGGAAGAACAUAUGUGUAAGUAACUGUGCACAUCUUGACGGUACCUAAUCAGAAAGCCACGGCUAACUACGUG
rnacentral:rRNA from 1 species